rnacentral:rRNA from 1 species
CAGUAGCCCGGUAAUACGAAGGGUGCAAGCGUUAAUCGGAAUUACUGGGCGUAAAGGGUGCGUAGGCGGUUGUUUAAGUCUGUUGUGAAAUCCCCGGGCUCAACCUGGGAAUGGCAAUGGAAACUGGACGGCUAGAGUGUGUCAGAGGAUGGUGGAAUUCCCGGUGGAGCGGUGAAAUGCAUUGAGAUCGGAAAGAACACCAACGGCGAAAGCACUCUGCUGGGCCGACAUUGACACUGAGAGACGAAAGGUAGGGGAGCAAAUGGGAUUAGAUACCCCAGUAGUCCCUGUCUCUUAUACA